rnacentral:rRNA from 1 species
CCCUUAGAUGUCCUGGGCCGCACGCGCGUUACACUGAUGCAUUCAACGAGCUUAUAACCUUGGCCGAGAGGCCUGGGCAAUCUUGUUAACGUGCAUCGUGAUAGGGAUAGAUUAUUGAAAUUAUUAAUCUUGAACGAGGAAUUCCUAGUAAACGCAGAUCAUCAAUCUGCAUUGAUUACGUCCCAGCCCUUUGUACACACCGCCCGUCGCACCUACCGAUUGGAUGGUCCGGUGAAGCCUCGGGAUUGUGGUUCUUGCCGCUUUAUUGUGGCGUGACCGCGAGAACUUGUCUAAACCUUAUCAUCUAGAGGAAGGUGAAGUCGUAACA